ACAUGAGUUAAGAGCUUAACUAUAUAUAUUUUUUAAACACAUAAUCACUCAACAGCUGCCAAUAACUAUUUAUUUGUUAUUGCAAAAUAGAAUUAAAACACAGUUUGCAGAAAAAAAGUUCCAGAAAAGAGAGAUACAUUAUCUUUAAGAGUCUAGAAUCAUCUUCCAAUGACAAAAGAGAGACAUAAGUAAUAAGGAACUCAGAGGCGAGCUUGAAGUUUUCAAGUGAUAUCCUGUAUCCUCAUAGACUUCUUAUAGAAGUAUACGAUGGUUCUGUUGAAGAUCAAGUACAAUUGAUUUAUUCUUGAGUAUGGAGAUCACGAGGUCAGAAGUAACUAUCACAGACCUUGACAUUAAAGAGCUCCUCUAGAAUGAAGGAGUAUUUCCAUGAAACUUAAAGGAGAUGAGAUCCACUGAGUGAGGUGCAAAGAGGCAAGAUCCCUUGCAGAAACAUGAAGUUAAAGAUCAGAGGGCGUGUAGCUAAGAUAUCCAAAAGGAAAAACAUGAUACCCUAGGAACGAUAAGUAGAUACAGAUUGCCGAUUGCCUCGAAGAAAGAUCUAUCCGAAUGACCAUGAAUUGAAUAUCUUUCCACUCAGUUCCAACUAUUUCCAUCCCUCAUUACUUCUACUGAGUAAAUGGAAUUCGAAGUCAUAGUUAGACGUGUCCAAAGGUUUCGUGAAUCAAAAAGAAGUUGUAAAUCCUCCAAUUAUAUAGUUCCAGACUCCAGACCAAGCAAGACGACGAGUCAUAGAAGAGGCGAUGAGAAUUGAGAAUAGAGGAAAAAUAAAGAACAUUAUUUUUUAUUAUUGGUAGCAAUAAUUAGCAAAAUAACUAUAAGUAAUGUUACUUAUUUUUCAGUUCCAAUGAAGCGGAUUUCAAUGUUGUUAAUAAAUAUCAUUAAUUAUUUUUCUAACA
rnacentral:lncRNA from 1 species